UUAGAGUUUGAUCCUGGCUCAGGAUGAACGCUGGCGGCGCGCCUAACACAUGCAAGUCGAACGGCACCUGCCCUCGGGCAGAAGCGAGUGGCGAACGGCUGAGUAACACGUGGAGAACCUGCCCCCUCCCCCGGGAUAGCCGUCCGAAAGGACGGGUAAUACCGGAUACCCCGGGGUGCCGCAUGGCACCCCGGCUAAAGCCCCGACGGGAGGGGAUGGCUCCGCGGCCCAUCAGGUAGACGGCGGGGUGACGGCCCACCGUGCCGACAACGGGUAGCCGGGUUGAGAGACCGACCGGCCAGAUUGGGACUGAGACACGGCCCAGACUCCUACGGGAGGCAGCAGUGGGGAAUCUUGCGCAAUGGGGGGAACCCUGACGCAGCGACGCCGCGUGCGGGACGGAGGCCUUCGGGUCGUAAACCGCUUUCAGCAGGGAAGAGUCAAGACUGUACCUGCAGAAGAAGCCCCGGCUAACUACGUGCCAGCAGCCGCGGUAAUACGUAGGGGGCGAGCGUUAUCCGGAUUCAUUGGGCGUAAAGCGCGCGUAGGCGGCCCGGCAGGCCGGGGGUCGAAGCGGGGGGCUCAACCCCCCGAAGCCCCCGGAACCUCCGCGGCUUGGGUCCGGUAGGGGAGGGUGGAACACCCGGUGUAGCGGUGGAAUGCGCAGAUAUCGGGUGGAACACCGGUGGCGAAGGCGGCCCUCUGGGCCGAGACCGACGCUGAGGCGCGAAAGCUGGGGGAGCGAACAGGAUUAGAUACCCUGGUAGUCCCAGCCGUAAACGAUGGACGCUAGGUGUGGGGGGACGAUCCCCCCGUGCCGCAGCCAACGCAUUAAGCGUCCCGCCUGGGGAGUACGGCCGCAAGGCUAAAACUCAAAGG
rnacentral:rRNA from 1 species